UACGUAGGUGGCGAGCGUUGUCCGGAUUUACUGGGCGUAAAGAGCGCGCAGGCGGUCGUGCAAGACGCGUGUGAAAGCCCCCGGCUCAACUGGGGAGGGUCACUUGAUACUGGUCGACUCGAAGGCAGGAGAGGGAGGUGGAAUUCCCGGUGUAGUGGUGAAAUGCGUAGAUAUCGGGAGGAACACCAGUGGCGAAGGCGACUUCCUGGCCUGUUCUUGACGCUGAGGCGCGAAAGCUAGGGGAGCAAACGGG
rnacentral:rRNA from 1 species